GACGAACGCUGGCGGCGUGCUUAACACAUGCAAGUCGAACGCUGAACCCGCUUCGGUGGGGGAUGAGUGGCGAACGGGUGAGUAACACGUGGGCAACCUGCCCCCGGCUCUGGGAUAACUCCAAGAAAUUGGGGCUAAUACCGGAUGUGACCGCUGGCCGCAUGGUCUGGUGGUGGAAAGGGUUUCCGGCUGGGGAUGGGCCCGCGGCCUAUCAGCUUGUUGGUGGGGUAGUGGCCUACCAAGGCGACGACGGGUAGCCGGCCUGAGAGGGUGACCGGCCACACUGGGACUGAGACACGGCCCAGACUCCUACGGGAGGCAGCAGUGGGGAAUAUUGCGCAAUGGGCGGAAGCCUGACGCAGCGACGCCGCGUGGGGGAUGACGGCCUUCGGGUUGUAAACCUCUUUCAGCGGGGACGAAGCGCAAGUGACGGUACCUGCAGAAGAAGCACCGGCCAACUACGUG
rnacentral:rRNA from 1 species